GACCAAAGAUAGGAAAAGAGAGGGAUAAUGGGAGCUCCAGACUGGAUUUCAAAGCUAUGUCUGGGUCCCUUUUCAAUAGUAUGACUUAUUGGGAUAGAGGAGCAUAUUUUCUGUUUCCUUCUUCCUCUUCCAUGUUUUUAUAAACCAUCACACAUAUUAGAAAUGUGGGUAUGAAUUUAACUUCGUAGAAGACUUUUGAAAAUGCUAUAAAUAACUAACUUCCAGGAAAUUAAGUGAGCUUUGUGUAUAAUAAAGCCCCAGAUGUAAUGUGAUAAAGACAAGAUGUAGUGAUAAAGAUCCUUGAGCCCCCAAAUUGGUCUAUUUGUAUUCAAAAUCUGUGUUCAAAGACCCCACCAUGGUCUCUAGCACGCCCACAUUACCAUCUAUAGAUUUAUCUAGGACCAAAAAUAUUUGAUGAGAUUAUGGAAUUAUCUAAAAAACCUUUGACUAUAUGAACAUUUACUUUCCCAAACAAAACUGACAGAUUUUCCAAGACAUCACAUCAAGCUUCUACUGUGUUGCCAUCUGUC
rnacentral:lncRNA from 1 species